GCCCGCUCAGAAACUUAAAGGAAGUUGACGGGGCCCGCACAAGCGGAGGAGCAUGUGGUUAAUUCGAUGAUACGCGAGGAACCUUACCUGGGCUCGAACGUAAGAUGACUGUAGGUGAAAGCUUACAUCUCUUCGGAGCAUUUUACGAGGUGCUGCAUGGUUGUCGUCAGCUCGUGCCGUGAGGUGUCGGGUUAAGUCCCAUAACGAGCGCAACCCCUACCUUUAGUUGCCAUCAGGUUAAGCUGGGGACUCUAAAGGAACUGCCUACGCAAGUAGUGAGGAAGGCGGGGAUGACGUCAAAUCAGCACGGCCCUUACGUCCAGGGCUACACACGUGCUACAAUGGCCGAUACAGAGGGCAGCUACCUGGUGACAGGAUGCAAAUCUCCAAAGUCGGUCUCAGUUCGGAUCGGAGUCUGCAACCCGACUCCGUGAAGUUGGAUUCGCUAGUAAUCGCGCAUCAGCCAUGGCGCGGUGAAUACGUUCCCGGGCCUU
rnacentral:rRNA from 1 species